rnacentral:lncRNA from 1 species
GUGGGUAUUUAUUCUAGAAAGUGCAUCAUCUUCGUCGAAGAGUUAUGUUCUGAAUCCGCCACUGGCCUGGACAACCACCUUCACCACGUCCUAGGGACCUAAGCUAUUGAUCGAAACCGGGAAACGAAGGAAGGAACGCGAAACCAGCUGCGCCGCGAAUCAUAUUGCCGCCCCUCCAUCGAGCUGGAAAACGUAACGCGUUUGCGCGUUUACAUGGAACGACCGGCUACGCGUUAGCUGUUACUUUACAAGGAUAACGUUUAAUGAGAAGGGAAACCGGUAGUCCGGACCGGAAAUGAUAAGCCAAUCGAAUUUUCCUUACGAGAGAUUUAUUUUCGCGUUCAAAAUAAUAUUAGAAAUUUUAUUUAAAAUUUGUAUAUAUUGUGAUAUCAUGGUUUUUAUUUUGCAUUUAUUUUAAAUUCGAAUAAUAUGAAUAUUUGAAAUUAACAUUUCAUCAGAUUUGGAUUGGAUUUUUAUAGUGGAUAUAGAAAUAUUUGUUGAUUAUGAAUAUUACAACUAAAAUAACACAAUAUUUACUUGUAUAAUAUAUGACACACUUUGAUUAAUUUUAUUUUUAGUUAAGACAAGUUCAAUGACCUACGACAAAAUAAUUAAAAAUUGACCAAAA